CCUACGGGAGGCAGCAGUGAGGAAUAUUGGUCAAUGGGCGCGAGCCUGAACCAGCCAAGUAGCGUGAAGGAUGACUGCCCUACGGGUUGUAAACUUCUUUUAUCAAGGAAUAAAGUGAGGCACGUGUGCCUUUUUGUAUGUUCUUUAUGAAUAAGGCUCGGCUAACUCCCUGCCCGCCGCCGGGGUAAUACGGAGGGUCCGAGCGUUAUCCGGAUUUAUUGGGGUUAAAGGGAGCGUAGAUGGGUUGUGAAGUUCGUUGUGAAAGUUUGCGGCUUAACCGUAAAAUUGCAAUUGAUACUGGCAGUCUUGAGUACAGUUGAGGUAGGCGGAAUGCGUGGUGUAGCGGUGAAAUGCUUAGAUAUCACGAAGAACUCCGAUUGCGAAGGCAGCUUACUAAACUGCCACUGACAUUGAUGCUCGAAAGUGUGGGUAUCAAACAGGAUUAGAUACCCGAGUAGUC
rnacentral:rRNA from 1 species